GGCAGCAGCUAAGAAUAUUCCGCAAUGGACGAAAGUCUGACGGAGCGACGCCGCGUGGAUGAUGAAGGCCGGAAGGUUGUAAAAUCCUUUUAUGACUGAGGAAUAAGGAAGUUGAGAGAAACGGCUUCUGGUGACUGUAGGUCAUGAAUAAGCAACGGCUAAUUACGUGCCAGCAGCCGCGGUAACACGUAAGUUGCGAGCGUUGUUCGGAAUUAUUGGGCGUAAAGGGCAUGUAGGCGGUUCUGCAAGUCUGGUGUGAAAUACCGGGGCUCAACCCCGGAACUGCGUUGGAAACUGCAGAACUUGAGUCGCUGAGGGGCAGCCAGAAUUCCAGGUGUAGGGGUGAAAUCUGUAGAUAUCUGGAAGAAUACCAAUGGCGAAGGCAGGCUGCCAGCAGAUGACUGACGCUGAGGUGCGAAGGUGCGGGGAGCAAACAGGAUUAGAUACCCUGGUAGUCCGCACAGUCAACUAUGUACACUAGGUGUCCGUUCAUGAGAAUGGGUGCCGAAGCAAACGCGAUAAGUGUACCGCCUGGGGAGUAUGCCCGCAAGGGUGAAACUCAAAGGAAUUGACGG
rnacentral:rRNA from 1 species